rnacentral:lncRNA from 10 species
UGUCCUUCCUCAGCCUCCUGAGCCCCGCCUGUUUAAAGGUUUUCAAUUGCACUGUCUUCAGCUCCUACAUGGGAUGAGGACUUCAGAGCGCAGAAGUCGACAGGCUCCCAUGAUUGUGUCAAGGCAAGAGUCAAGACCCACUGGAGGGCAGGGACCAUGUCUGCAUCUGUCUUUUUCACUGCUGCAUCCUCACGGCUCAGGACACUCCCUGGUACAAAGCAGAUGCUUAAUAAAUACUCAUUGGAUGGACAAAUGAAUGGAUGGACAGAUGAAUGAAUGAAUGAAUGAAUACACAAAUGAAUCAGAUCAGAGAUCAGAGAGGAAAAAACUGCUUACGUUUUUAACACGUAGAUGUGUUGCUUUUUGUGAUCUUUUCUACUUCUCUUUAGUGAGUAGCAAUAAAAUCAGUAAGGAGAAGAGGGUCUGUGUGUUGGUUUUCUGGAGGAGGAAGAUGGGAAGAUUUCCCUCUGCCCUGUGAUCAGGCUCUGAAUGGGGAGAGUUGUCCCAGGACACAGAGCAAGUGGUGAUAGCAUGUGAUGGAGGGAGGAAAGGAACACCUGCAGCAUAGGGAGGAAAGGAACAUAGAGCUGGCUGGAGACUGAGAAACCACUACUUGUUCUAUGUCCUGAGAGAGAGGGGGGUUGAGCAGGAGAAAGGGCUGCUGGGGUUUUCCACCUGCAGGCACCACGGCUGAAAGGCCUCCUGCCCAGGUCCUACCUCUGACUCAGUACCGACCUUAGGUAAGGCCCUUUCCCCAUUUAUGGCCAAGUCAGAAGAUGUGGCCCAGUCUGAGGUUAUCAAAAGGCAGAAGCCUCAUGAAUACACCUGGUUAUUAGCUCUGGCAGUGUAAAACCAACAGCAGCACCAACCACAUGGUGUGAGCUUCCUCCUCCACUUCUCUGUUCAGUUUCUCUUCCUGCCUGUUUUCUCUGCUGGGUGGGCAGUUCAGAAGGCUUGGGCCUACCAUGCCCCAAACAGAAGAGGCUGCUUUCCUUCCCUUCUGAGCAGCCACAGCAGUGUGAACCCAGAUGUGUAUCUGUCACCUUUUCCUCACUCCCAUCCCGAGCCCAUGUGUCCCAUGAAAAUGAGCCAUGAACCCCCCUUUGGACGGUGGGAAACUUGAUGACAGGUCCAGGUCCCCGAUUUGCAAAACAAAUUGCCUCUUCUCUUUCUUCCAGCCCAUGCGUCUCUCUUUGGGCAAAAGUUAAUUCUCACCAACCUCUAUCAACCUCCUCGGGUUGACUUCGCUAUGCUUUUUCUGGAAAUUUGUGCUUCCCCAUUUCUUAGAGCACAGCAAACUUGGGGUGCCCUGAAGGCUGAGACAGGGGCAGGGUGUGAGCAGCACUGGGCCUCUAAGGAUGCUCCUCCUUGUACAUUCCUGCCACAUUGUGGGGACACAAUCCCCAUCAGCGUGAUGAUGUCAUAAUUGGGGUGGGCGAGAUAGGGAAGUUCAUUGCCUGUUGCAUCCUUCCUGGCACCAUCUUGGGACUCUUCCCACUCAUUUGCUACUCAGGAUCCAGGGUUUUCCCAGACCAAGACACAGAGGAUCAGAUGUUCAGCCAUACCUACUCCCUUGUGGAGGUGCCAAUCAUAACUAAGGUGUACUGAGCAUUGACCUUGUUUAACCAGACAUUGUUGUAUCAAACACUUUAUCUUCAUUAACUCGUUUGAUGCUCAUAACAAUCCUACAAGGCUUGUCACAUUAUUCUUUUCACCUUUAAAAUGAAAAAAAAAAAAAAAAAAAAACAAGCUUAGGAAGGUAAUUUGCCCAAAGUUACCCAGCCACUAAGUGGUAGAGGCCCCACACACCCCUCCCACCAUGACCACAUCUUCUUUUUUUUUUUUUUUUUUUUUUUACAGAGUGAUAGAGUCUCACUCUCACUCUGUCACCCAGGCUGGAGAGCAGUGGUGUGAUCUCGGCUCACUGCAACCUCUGCUUCCCAGGUUCAAGUGAUUCUCCUGCCUUGGCCUCCUGAGUAGCUGAGAUUACAGGCAUGCACAACCACGCCUGGCUAAUUUUUGUAUUUUUAGUAGAGACAGGGUUUCACCAUGUUGGCCAGGCUGGUCUCGAACUCCCGACGUCAGGUGAUCCACCCACCUCGGCCUCCCAAAGUGCUGGGAUUACAGGUGCGAGCCACCGUGCCCAGCCAGCCACAUCCUCUUAUAAAGUGGAGGGGUGGAGGAAGGAAGGAGGUCUCUACAAGGGUUUCCUUUUGGGUCUAACGAUUAGUGAGCCCUCUCUAGGGAAGGAAAACCAACAUCUGUGCAGAACUUCAGGCUGGUGAGGAAGAUGUUGAUCCCAAUUAGAAUCUGGCAUCUGGCACUUGCAAUAAAUACCAGGGCACCUGCUUGUGUCCGCAGAAUCACCCCAGCCUUUGUGCCAGAAAGAAAACACUCUUCACUGGAUCCUCAAAGGAGUCCAGUCUCUGGCCCAGCUCUCAGGGAGCUCAUGGUCUGGUGGAGGUAAUGAACUCCUCUCCCUCACUCCACGUCUCCCUAAUUCACACCUCCUUCCUCUGAAAAGACUCCCUUCCAGGCCUUGACUAAAAGGGUCCCUGUCCUGAAGAACAACCACUGAGCUACAGACUCAAGGAACAAGUCCUCAUGAUCCAUCAGUCCCCUGUCCCCCCGUCAGCCUUGAUACCAUAUGACCUCAACCACUCUGCCUCCAGGGAACUCACAGGUCACCUGAAACUGAUACCACCUGGCUGAACUCCGCCCUCCAGUUUAUGUGCCUGUAUGAAGUCUGAUUUGACUGCAACAAGCCUUUUGACUAAAAUUGGGAUGUAUAUGU